rnacentral:rRNA from 1 species
CCUACGGGAGGCAGCAGUCGAGAAUCAUUCACAAUGGGGGAAACCCUGAUGUUGCGACGCCGCGUGGGGGAAUGAAGGUCUUCGGAUUGUAAACCCCUGUCAUGUGGGAGCAAAUUAAAAAGAUAGUACCACAAGAGGAAGAGACGGCUAACUCUGUGCCAGCAGCCGCGGUAAUACAGAGGUCUCAAGCGUUGUUCGGAAUCACUGGGCGUAAGGCGUGCGUAGGCUGUUUCGUAAGUCGUGUGUGAAAGGCGCGGGCUCAACCCGCGGACGGCACAUGAUACUGCGAGACUAGAGUAAUGGAGGGGGAACCGGAAUUCUCGGUGUAGCAGUGAAAUGCGUAGAUAUCGAGAGGAACACUCGUGGCGAAGGCGGGUUCCUGGACAUUAACUGACGCUGAGGCACGAAGGCCAGGGGAGCGAAAGGGAUUAGAUACCCGAGUAGUC